UACGAAGGGGGCUAGCGUUGCUCGGAAUUACUGGGCGUAAAGCGCACGUAGGCGGAUUGUUAAGUCGGGGGUGAAAUCCUGGAGCUCAACUCCAGAACUGCCUUCGAAACUGGCGAUCUUGAGUUCGGGAGAGGUGAGUGGAACUGCGAGUGUAGGGGUGAAAUUCGUAGAUAUUCGCAAGAACACCAGUGGCGAAGGCGGCUCACUGGCCCGAUACUGACGCUGAGGUGCGAAAGCGUGGGGAGCAAACAGG
rnacentral:rRNA from 1 species